GACAGAGGUGCCGAGCGUUAGGCGGAAUCACUGGGCGUAAAGAGCGCGCAGGCGGUCGUUCAAGUCGCGUGUGAAAGCCCCCGGCUCAACUGGGGAGGGUCACGCGAUACUGAUCGACUGGAAGGCAGGAGAGGGUAGUGGAAUUCCCGGUGUAGUGGUGAAAUGCGUAGAUAUCGGGAGGAACACCAGUGGCGAAGGCGACUACCUGGCCUGUUCUUGACGCUGAGGCGCGAAAGCUAGGGGAGCAAACGGG
rnacentral:rRNA from 1 species